UGCAAUGAGAGUUGUGCUAAGGUAGCGCGAUAAUUUGUCUUUUAAUUGGAGAAUGGUAUGAAAGGUUUGUCGCGGAUUGGUUGUCUCUUAAAAGUUUAGUGAAGUUUCCUUUUUAGUGAAAAGGCUAAAAAUUAUACAAAAGACGAGAAGACCCUGUCGAGCUUGAUUAGCUUAAAUCUAUUAAUGAGUCUAAGUAAAUGUUAGUUGGGGAAAACUGGGCUUCAUAAAAUAAGCUCACUAAAGCGGAGAUCCUUUUUUAGAGAAAACUGGUAUAAGUUACCGCAGGGAUAACAGCGUUAUUUUCUUUGAGAGAUCUUAUUGAGGAGAAAGUUUGCGACCUCGAUGUUGGAUUAUA
rnacentral:rRNA from 1 species